GGCUUGGUGGUGGAUGGCCCAUACCUGCUUCCUCUGUCAAUUGUGCUCUUGUGUGAGCAGGAGCCGCCUGUUCGAAUCAGGCCCGAGCCC